AUUGAACGCUGGCGGAAUGCUUUACACAUGCAAGUCGAACGGUAACAGGUUUUCGGAUGCUGACGAGUGGCGAACGGGUGAGUAAUAUAUCGGAACGUGCCCCGUCGUGGGGGAUAACGUAGCGAAAGUUACGCUAAUACCGCAUACGAUUUACGGAUGAAAGCGGGGGAUCGCAAGACCUCGCGCGAUUGGAGUGGCCGAUAUCAGAUUAGGUAGUUGGUGGGGUAAAGGCUCACCCAGCCAACGAUCUGUAGCUGGUUUGAGAGGACGACCAGCCCCACUGGAACUGAGACCCGGUCCCGACUCCUUCGGGAGGCAGCCGUGGGGAAUUUUGGACAAUGGACGCCAGCCUGAUCCAGCCCUUUCGCGUGCAGGAUGAAGGCCCUCGGGUUGUAAACUGCUUUUGUACGGAACGAAAAGGCUUUUCCUAAUACGAGGGGCUCAUGACGGUACCGUAAGAAUAAGCCCCGGCUAACUACGUGCCAGCC
rnacentral:rRNA from 1 species